AGUCCAGCAGACACCCUUUGAUUGAGGAGGGUAUUUGGGGAGUUGCAGUGUUGUGCAGAAGAUCAUGUCUUUGCCCCACGGUGCUGUCAGCGGUGACAGAUCCCAGAUGGAGCCGCUACUGUAUGGCAGAUUGAGUUUCCCAGCAGAAAACUCUCUCCCUCCCUUCUAAACGUCCUCAAAAACCUUCUCCAGAUACUCUAGGUCACUUCGUCUGAAAAUGAAAAAGCUCGACCUCAAAGGUUGGGGCUUCUUCUACUACAUUUUUUUUUUUUUUUAAAUACGCUGUAGUUUCUCUGCGCUGCCUCUCUGUCUGCCUGUCUCUUCGCCCAGCACGGACUCCAAAGGCUGCUGCUGCUGCUGAAAGCUAGCUUUGCAGCUGUAGCCAGAUGUUACUACUCUCCCCCGCCCCCGGGUGCCAGAUCGGAGAAAGCUGCCCUGCCUGGGCUACUGACUGCCCCCUCUCAGGCCCCCAGUCACCUAUAUAGGUAUUCCCAGUCCAAGGCUGGUGCCGAAUGACUACCAAGACAACCAAAACACUGAGUCGUCCUGGAGCAAAUCCUGUGGCGGUGCUCCAGGAUGAACUUCAGAAUGAGGACACAGUGAAUGACUGAGACAUCUCGGAAGGGGAGACCCUAACCUGAAUUGGAAGAGAUCUUAGAGAGCCUUGAGGGUUUCCUCAAUAGAAAAUUCUUGGAGGGGGGGAGAUGGUAUACGUAGCAGAAUUUUGGGAUCCAGUAGAAAAUCGAAGCAAGAAGGGCAGAGGACAAGAUCAGGGUGAGUGUAGAA